rnacentral:rRNA from 1 species
UUGGAGGGCAAGUCUGGUGCCAGCAGCCGCGGUAAUUCCAGCUCCAAUAGCGUAUAUUAAAGUUGUUGCAGUUAAAAAGCUCGUAGUUGAAUUUCGGGAUCAGAGUGUCGGUCGUGCCUCGGUACGUACUGGUAUUAUUGGUUCCUACCUUCUGAAGAACCGCGAUGUCAUUAAUUUGGUGUCGUGGGGAAUCAGGACUGUUACUUUGAAAAAAUUAGGGUGUUUAAAGCAGGCUUACGCUUGAAUACAUUAGCAUGGAAUAAUGAAAUAGGACGUUUGAUUCUAUUUUGUUGGUUUCUAGGAUUGACGUAAUGAUUAAUAGGGAUAGUUGGGGGCAUUAGUAUUCAAUUGUCAGAGGUGAAAUUCUUGGAUUUAUUGAAGACUAACUACUGCGAAAGCAUUUGCCAAGGAUGUUUUCAUUAAUCAAGAACGAAAGUUAGGGGAUCGAAGACGAUCAGAUACCGUCGUAGUCUUAACCAUAAACUAUGCCGACUAGGGAUCGGAUGAUGUUAAUUUUUUAAUGACUCAUUCGGCGCCUUACGGGAAACCAAAGUGUUUGGGUUC